CUAAUCGAUUUUAUUAAAUAACCUUUUUAUACCGAAAGUAUUUGAUUUUAUUAUUAAUUGAGUUUAAAGCUCUUUAUAGAUUCGAGUAGAUUUUAAGUAAAUUAAUAUUACGUUGUGAUAAAUUAUUCGGUUAUACUUAUAUCUGUUUAACAACUUUAUAUAUUAUAUUAUUUUUUAGGCAAUGAUGUCUGAAAUUAUUAAAUAUCUUUUCUAUUUUGUUUUAAAUAAAGGGUUAAAAUUACCCAUUAUUUAUAAUUGUUUUACAACUUUGUAUUUUAGUCAUUAAUGAUUUUUUUUUAUAGGUUGGUAGUUAUAAUUUUUAGCAUUAUACAAUGAUUAAAUAAGUAAUAUUAACACAAUUCAUGUAUCUCAUUAAUUGCCUGUCUGUUUAUUAAAAACAUUUCCACUCGGAAACUUGUGUGGUAGUACCUGCUCUAUGCAAAUGUAAAUGGCCGCAGUAUCUUGACUGUGCGAAGGUAGCAUAAUUAAUUGCCCUAUAAUUGAGGGCUUGUUUGAAUGGUUUGACAAGGUAGUAUUUAACAUGAAUUGUUUACUUGAAUUUAAUAAUGGGGGCACAGAAUCCCCUUAAAUUUAAUUAGACGGAAAGACCCCGGGAUCUUUUAUUUUUGUCUGGGGCAGAUUAUGAUGUUUCAUUUAUAAAUUAGACCCUAAUGGUGCAUUGGUGUAAGUUACCCCGGGGAUAACAGUGUAAUAAUUUAUUAGAGGCCUUAUCGAAUAAAUUGUUUGCCACCUCGAUGUUGACUUAGGUUUAAACUUAGGCGCAGUAGUUUAAGUUUUUGGUCUGUUCGACCUUAGUUUACCUCCAUGAGUUGAGUUAAGACCGGCGUGA
rnacentral:rRNA from 1 species